AAAUUGAAGAGUUUGAUCAUGGCUCAGAUUGAACGCUGGCGGCAGGCCUAACACAUGCAAGUCGAGCGGUAGCACAGAGAGCUUGCUCUCGGGUGACGAGCGGCGGACGGGUGAGUAAUGUCUGGGAAACUGCCUGAUGGAGGGGGAUAACUACUGGAAACGGUAGCUAAUACCGCAUAAUGUCGCAAGACCAAAGUGGGGGACCUUCGGGCCUCAUGCCAUCAGAUGUGCCCAGAUGGGAUUAGCUAGUAGGUGGGGUAACGGCUCACCUAGGCGACGAUCCCUAGCUGGUCUGAGAGGAUGACCAGCCACACUGGAACUGAGACACGGUCCAGACUCCUACGGGAGGCAGCAGUGGGGAAUAUUGCACAAUGGGCGCAAGCCUGAUGCAGCCAUGCCGCGUGUGUGAAGAAGGCCUUCGGGUUGUAAAGCACUUUCAGCGGGGAGGAAGGCGUUAAGGUUAAUAACCUUGUCGAUUGACGUUACCCGCAGAAGAAGCACCGGCUAACUCCGUGCCAGCAGCCGCGGUAAUACGGAGGGUGCAAGCGUUAAUCGGAAUUACUGGGCGUAAAGCGCACGCAGGCGGUCUGUCAAGUCGGAUGUGAAAUCCCCGGGCUCAACCUGGGAACUGCAUUCGAAACUGGCAGGCUAGAGUCUUGUAGAGGGGGGUAGAAUUCCAGGUGUAGCGGUGAAAUGCGUAGAGAUCUGGAGGAAUACCGGUGGCGAAGGCGGCCCCCUGGACAAAGACUGACGCUCAGGUGCGAAAGCGUGGGGAGCAAACAGGAUUAGAUACCCUGGUAGUCCACGCCGUAAACGAUGUCGAUUUGGAGGUUGUGCCCUUGAGGCGUGGCUUCCGGAGCUAACGCGUUAAAUCGACCGCCUGGGGAGUACGGCCGCAAGGUUAAAACUCAAAUGAAUUGACGGGGGCCCGCACAAGCGGUGGAGCAUGUGGUUUAAUUCGAUGCAACGCGAAGAACCUUACCUGGUCUUGACAUCCACAGAACUUUCCAGAGAUGGAUUGGUGCCUUCGGGAACUGUGAGACAGGUGCUGCAUGGCUGUCGUCAGCUCGUGUUGUGAAAUGUUGGGUUAAGUCCCGCAACGAGCGCAACCCUUAUCCUUUGUUGCCAGCGGUUCGGCCGGGAACUCAAAGGAGACUGCCAGUGAUAAACUGGAGGAAGGUGGGGAUGACGUCAAGUCAUCAUGGCCCUUACGACCAGGGCUACACACGUGCUACAAUGGCAUAUACAAAGAGAAGCGACCUCGCGAGAGCAAGCGGACCUCAUAAAGUAUGUCGUAGUCCGGAUUGGAGUCUGCAACUCGACUCCAUGAAGUCGGAAUCGCUAGUAAUCGUAGAUCAGAAUGCUACGGUGAAUACGUUCCCGGGCCUUGUACACACCGCCCGUCACACCAUGGGAGUGGGUUGCAAAAGAAGUAGGUAGCUUAACCUUCGGGAGGGCGCUUACCACUUUGUGAUUCAUGACUGGGGUGAAGUCGUAACAAGGUAACCGUAGGGGAACCUGCGGUUGGAUCACCUCCUUA
rnacentral:rRNA from 1 species